rnacentral:rRNA from 1 species
GAUGAACGCUGGCGGCGUGCUUAACACAUGCAAGUCGAGCGGACGGACGAGAGUUUUUUUCCUUGCCCGAUAGCGGCGGGCGGGCGAGUCACACGUGGAUACCCUACCUAUCAUUCUGGUAUAACUACGCGAAACCGGAUCUAACUCCUGAUGAUAUUUUGAACCUCAUGGUUCAAAAGUUAAACACGGUGUUUCGGUCAGUAAUAGCUGGAUCCGGGCUGCAUUAGAUAGUUGGUAGGGUCACGGCUUACCAAGGCGACGAGGCGUGACCGAGGUGAGAGGGUGGUAGGCCACACUGGAAGUGAGACACGGCCCAGACGCCUACGGGAGGCAGCAGUAGGGAAUCGUAGGCAGUGGGCGGGAGCCUUGCGGAACAAAGCCGAGUGAGUGGUGGCAGUCCUGGGAUCGUGAUGCUCUAUUACUGGGGGAGAACGUAUGUGUACGUAACUGUGGAGUUCUUGACGGUACCGAAUCAAAAAGCACCGGCUAACUACGUG